rfam:Stomoxys calcitrans breed 8C7A2A5H3J4 unplaced genomic scaffold Scaffold129, whole genome shotgun sequence.
CUCAAUAUGAUGACACUCUGUCCACUGACUUUGGUUAGAUUCAACCUAUUUUUGGAAGAAUCUUAAUGUGCCAAAACUAAAAACAGGAUGUUCGCAGUUUGCGAGGCAUUUGUCUGAUUGAGUG